rnacentral:rRNA from 1 species
GGUUAAGCGACUAAGCGUACACGGUGGAUGCCCUGGCAGUCAGAGGCGAUGAAGGACGUGCUAAUCUGCGAAAAGCGUCGGUAAGGUGAUAUGAACCGUUAUAGCCGGCGAUGUCCGAAUGGGGAAACCCAGUGUGAUUCGUCACACUAUCGUUAACUGAAUACAUAGGUUAACGAGGCGAACCGGGGGAACUGAAACAUCUAAGUACCCCGAGGAAAAGAAAUCAACCGAGAUUCCCCCAGUAGCGGCGAGCGAACGGGGAGCAGCCCAGAGUCUGAAUCAGCUUGUGUGUUAGUGGAACGGUCUGGAAAGUCCGACGGUACAGGGUGAUAGUCCCGUACACCAAAAUGCACAGGUUGUGAACUCGAAGAGUAGGGCGGGACACGUGGUAUCCUGUCUGAAUAUGGGGGGACCAUCCUCCAAGGCUAAAUACUCCUGACUGACCGAUAGUGAACCAGUACCGUGAGGGAAAGGCGAAAAGAACCCCGGCGAGGGGAGUGAAAAAGAACCUGAAACCGUGUACGUACAAGCAGUGGGAGCACCUUCGGGUGUGACUGCGUACCUUUUGUAUAAUGGGUCAGCGACUUAUAUUCUGUAGCAAGGUUAACCGUAUAGGGGAGCCGCAGGGAAACCGAGUCUUAACUGGGCGUUAAGUUGCAGGGUAUAGACCCGAAACCCGGUGAUCUAGCCAUGGGCAGGUUGAAGGUUGGGUAACACUAACUGGAGGACCGAACCGACUAAUGUUGAAAAAUUAGCGGAUGACUUGUGGCUGGGGGUGAAAGGCCAAUCAAACCGGGAGAUAGCUGGUUCUCCCCGAAAGCUAUUUAGGUAGCGCCUCGUGAACUCAUCUUCGGGGGUAGAGCACUGUUUCGGCUAGGGGGUCAUCCCGACUUACCAACCCGAUGCAAACUACGAAUACCGAAGAAUGUUAUCACGGGAGACACACGGCGGGUGCUAACGUCCGUCGUGAAGAGGGAAACAACCCAGACCGCCAGCUAAGGUCCCAAAGUCAUGGUUAAGUGGGAAACGAUGUGGGAAGGCACAGACAGCCAGGAUGUUGGCUUAGAAGCAGCCAUCAUUUAAAGAAAGCGUAAUAGCUCACUGGUCGAGUCGGCCUGCGCGGAAGAUGUAACGGGGCUAAACCAUGCACCGAAGCUGCGGCAGCGACACUAUGUGUUGUUGGGUAGGGGAGCGUUCUGUAAGCCUGCGAAGGUGUGCUGUGAGGCAUGCUGGAGGUAUCAGAAGUGCGAAUGCUGACAUAAGUAACGAUAAAGCGGGUGAAAAGCCCGCUCGCCGGAAGACCAAGGGUUCCUGUCCAACGUUAAUCGGGGCAGGGUGAGUCGACCCCUAAGGCGAGGCCGAAAGGCGUAGUCGAUGGGAAACAGGUUAAUAUUCCUGUACUUGGUGUUACUGCGAAGGGGGGACGGAGAAGGCUAUGUUAGCCGGGCGACGGUUGUCCCGGUUUAAGCAUGUAGGCUGGUUGUCCAGGCAAAUCCGGAUAAUCAAGGCUGAGGUGUGAUGACGAGGCACUACGGUGCUGAAGUAACAAAUGCCCUGCUUCCAGGAAAAGCCUCUAAGCAUCAGGUAACAUCAAAUCGUACCCCAAACCGACACAGGUGGUCAGGUAGAGAAUACCAAGGCGCUUGAGAGAACUCGGGUGAAGGAACUAGGCAAAAUGGUGCCGUAACUUCGGGAGAAGGCACGCUGGUGUGUAGGUGAAGCCCCUGCGGGUGGAGCUGAGACCAGUCGAAGAUACCAGCUGGCUGCAACUGUUUAUUAAAAACACAGCACUGUGCAAACACGAAAGUGGACGUAUACGGUGUGACGCCUGCCCGGUGCCGGAAGGUUAAUUGAUGGGGUUAUCCGUAAGGAGAAGCUCUUGAUCGAAGCCCCGGUAAACGGCGGCCGUAACUAUAACGGUCCUAAGGUAGCGAAAUUCCUUGUCGGGUAAGUUCCGACCUGCACGAAUGGCGUAAUGAUGGCCAGGCUGUCUCCACCCGAGACUCAGUGAAAUUGAACUCGCUGUGAAGAUGCAGUGUACCCGCGGCAAGACGGAAAGACCCCGUGAACCUUUACUAUAGCUUGACACUGAACAUUGAGCCUUGAUGUGUAGGAUAGGUGGGAGGCUUUGAAGCGUGGACGCCAGUCUGCGUGGAGCCAACCUUGAAAUACCACCCUUUAAUGUUUGAUGUUCUAACGUUGGCCCCUGACCGGGGUUGCGGACAGUGUCUGGUGGGUAGUUUGACUGGGGCGGUCUCCUCCCAAAGCGUAACGGAGGAGCACGAAGGUUAGCUAAUCCUGGUCGGACAUCAGGAGGUUAGUGCAAUGGCAUAAGCUAGCUUGACUGCGAGCGUGACGGCGCGAGCAGGUGCGAAAGCAGGUCAUAGUGAUCCGGUGGUUCUGAAUGGAAGGGCCAUCGCUCAACGGAUAAAAGGUACUCCGGGGAUAACAGGCUGAUACCGCCCAAGAGUUCAUAUCGACGGCGGUGUUUGGCACCUCGAUGUCGGCUCAUCACAUCCUGGGGCUGAAGUAGGUCCCAAGGGUAUGGCUGUUCGCCAUUUAAAGUGGUACGCGAGCUGGGUUUAGAACGUCGUGAGACAGUUCGGUCCCUAUCUGCCGUGGGCGCUGGAGAAUUGAGGGGGGCUGCUCCUAGUACGAGAGGACCGGAGUGGACGCAUCACUGGUGUUCGGGUUGUCAUGCCAAUGGCACUGCCCGGUAGCUAAAUGCGGAAGAGAUAAGUGCUGAAAGCAUCUAAGCACGAAACUUGCCCCGAGAUGAGUUCUCCCUGAGACUUUAAGUCUCCUGAAGGAACGUUGAAGACGACGACGUUGAUAGGCCGGGUGUGUAAGCGCAGCGAUGCGUUGAGCUAACCGGUACUAAUGAACCGUGAGGCUUAACCUU